GGCUCCCUAGGAGAUGAAGUGAAAGUGCACGUGAGGCUUAUCACUGGGAUUUGUUUCCUCCUACUCAUUCACCUUUGCUUUCUCCCCCUCACAAUACUCCUGCACAUGCGUGUGUUGCCAGGUAUAGUGGUCUCUGCACUCUGGGUUCUGUGAUGUCACCCAGGUGAGCAUGGUCAAGAUGCCUGCCAUGCGAUGCGAGAUGUAGGACUCCACCUGGGAUCCAUUUGAAAGGAUCCAGUGGAUCGGGUGGGGAGGGAAGGACUGAACCCAGCCGUCUCCAUGAAUUACUUGGCAGGAAAAGGAAGCAUCUCCUCCUGGGGCCUCAACUGGGGAGACUCGAAGGCUGGGGAGGACGCUACUGCUGGAGACUGGGAUGCCCCAUGGACUCUUUCACUCCCAUGUCUAGUGCUUGAACUGAGAAGAAAACCAGCUACUGAAUACCUGCUGCAUUUGAGGCGCUGGGAGGGACGUAAGGACUUCGAGGCUUAAAUCCUGCAUUCUAGCUGGGGAGACAAGAGGUCAAGGGUACAGUUUUGUCUUGUUAGCUGGAUAUGUAUUUAAGAGACCAGCUGAGUGUUACAGACACAG